UAGGGAAUCUUCGGCAAUGGGGGGAACCCUGACCGAGCAACGCCGCGUGAGUGAAGAAGGUUUUCGGAUCGUAAAGCUCUGUUGUUAAGGAAGAACGAGUGUGAGAAUGGAAAGUUCAUGCUGUGACGGUACUUAACCAGAAAGGGACGGCUAACUACGUGCCAGCAGCCGCGGUAAUACGUAGGUCCCGAGCGUUGUCCGGAGUUAUUGGGCGUAAAGCGAGCGCAGGCGGUUAGAAAAGUCUGAAGUGAAAGGCAGUGGCUCAACCAUUGUAGGCUUUGGAAACUGUUUAACUUGAGUGCAGAAGGGGAGAGUGGAAUUCCAUGUGUAGCGGUGAAAUGCGUAGGUAUAUGGAGGAACACCGGUGGCGCAAGCGGCUCUCUGGUCUGUAACUGACGCUGAGGCUCGAAAGCGUGGGGAGCGAACAGG
rnacentral:rRNA from 1 species